GUUACAGGUUAGAAGAUGGAAUGGAUGCAAAGGAGGAAAGUGGGGUUAUCCCUGCUACUGGUUGCUAUCCUCAUUUCCUUCAACUUAAGUAGUCUUGAUGGACAAAUAAUUAAAUCAGAAAAAAAAUUGGUUGAAAUAGAGAAUGAGUCAGGAUCCAUACAGCAAUCAGAUGAUACUGUGAGGAUUGAUCCUUUGGACAAUUUCAAGUAAUAUAAAGGAGGAUAUGACAUUACGGAGAAACAUUAUUGGAGUUCAACCAUCUUUACAGGUAUAUAUGGCUAUGCCAUUGCUGUGGUGUGGCUCUUGUUUGGCUUAGGAUAUUGACUAUUUCUUCUUGCUUCAAUCCUUUGCUGCAAAAGAAAGAACAGAAAGCUCAAAAAGAGAUCAACUUGUCAUAGUGAACACUACUAUCGCUGCCUUAUUCUCUCAGCCAUUUUCUUGAC